UUAAAAAUCGCAGCACACAUAGUACUUGAUCAUAACAACUUGACUUGGUAAAUCACAUCUGCAUACCAUGGGAAGCACAACAAAGAAUAAAUGAGACGGCCAUCAUUCAAGAUGCUCAAAGCGUCAUGAAAAAGGGCAAUUCAAUCUCACAUGAAAGGGAAUGGUCAUCAUCUGCACAGGUAGACAACUAUUGCUCCAAUUACAAGAAGCCUCUUUGGCCUGAGUGACCAGAUUAAAUACACUACAAGUGGUCAAGGAAGUGAAACAGCUAGUCAACUACAGCUGAAAAUAAAGUACUACAAGAAAACAGGAUACCACAGUGUACAAAAUUGGAUUCCCAACUUUUCAUGGAUCAUAGGGCCAACUAACAUAGUUUCUUGGUUGAAAAUUUAGCCAAUGAGUGUGAGCAUAGCAGCUUGGCAGUUUUAUAUGUGCUAGGUGAGGCUGAACUGUGUUAUUUUAAAAUGGUGCAAGAGGAGCCAAACAUGAAAUGUGGGAUUUAGGACCACCUUAAUGAAAUAAUGUUUUAGGAGAAGUGAUGAGCUUGAAGCGACUGGGGACUACCAGUACCACCUUCAUAAAAUAAGGGUAGGAGAAUCGGUGAACUUGAAGCAACUGGGAACUAUGGAAGAUUAUCAAUGCUAUCGCUGUUAAUCAUUGACACAGGCAAGGUUAUUUGUGGAACUUUUUACUGCAGGACACGAAGACUGUCAGAGAAUGGAAAUGCCAACUCCCCUAAAUUUGAUACAAGCAAGCAAGUUAUACCUUCGGAAACAAACAUCAAUUGGAAAUGGCAACUAUCACAUCCCAAAUAGUUCUUGGAGCAACAAAGAAACAGCCCAUGGUACCUAAAACUCUACUCGACCCUAAGAGGUUCCGAUUCUAGAAGGCAAGCACAAUCAGAACAGUUAUCCCAUGUGGAGAUCACAGAACCUUGAGUCAGAAGGUUAAACUACAACAUUGACGAGGUGUAUCAAACAAGCCAUUGAUGCAAAAGUCCUGAUAGAAGGUUAACCAGCAAGUAGAAUGUGAUAGUUUUGGGAUUCUAUAAAGCGUAGUGCUACUUGAGAAGAAUUUGUCAUUUUUUAUGAAGCUAUUCUUGUCCUUAUUUAGCUUACUUCUAGAGCUUGAUCCUGGGAAAUUCCAGUUUUUUUNACCAAACUUAUACGUAAUACUGUAAGCACUAAUCAUCCUCAGUGGCAGUUGUCCUAAUUCUGAUUUUCCAUGCCAUGCCAUCCCAUCACCCGAUCCUUAUCUGGAAUUGACACAAGUUUAAAACUGAAUUAGGUAAUCUAGAAAAGAAUUAUAUAGUUACAUGAAAAUAUAGAACCCAAUGAAAAAAGGUUGCUCCACUACUUUCUAUGAGUAUUUUUUGUUUUUGUUUUUUUGCGAUAAUUACCUUUGGUAGCUUCUUGGCACCUAAUCAUGUAAGAAGUGGAUUAUUCCAUGAACACUUGAUAACUAGUCCAAAUAAUUCCAUAACCAAAUAGAGAAAUACUUCUCAGAAACGAUUGAAAACCAAUAUAAUGUAUAUACUAUACACCAACUAAGAAAGUGCGGCGUGUUUCAUCUAGAGUAGUACUUGUAGACAAGAGCUACAAUAAUAUUAGGAGAAAACAAACGAAAUAUAGAAAACUACCAGAUAGUUUACAAACCAAUUUGCAAACUAAAUAUAACAGCUCCUGAAGUUACUAACAAUGCAAGUUGUUCGCAACUACAAAAUCAGGAAAGAUUUUCGCUAUGCAAAAGACAGUUAGGUAUUUAUCUUUAAAGUUUCUUCUCCACACUAAAACGAUUCAUUUAACAUUCAUCAAACAAUUGAAGAAAGGUAAAAUCUAAUGACAAAGGUAUCCAAGGGUAAACGUAAGAUACUCUAUGGCCACACCUAAUAUCUUGCUCCACCAAACAAGCCACAUAUAGGGGCGUAUAAUUUUCAUGAUUGAUGAAAUACAUGAUUGAGUAUUUUUAUCCUCAUUACUAAGAUAUCUCCAGUCCUACCCUUUCAAUGGGAUGUGAUGCAAGAAAAUUUAUCCCGUGUGGAGAUCACAGAACCUUGAGUCAGAAGGCAAGCACAAUCAGAACAGUUAUCCCGUGUGGAGAUCACAGAACCUUGAGUCAGAAGGUUAAACUACAACAUUGACGAGGUGUAUCAAACAAGCCAUUGAUGCAAAAGUCCUGAUAGAAGGUUAACCAGCAAGUAGAAUG
rnacentral:lncRNA from 1 species